UACGUAGGGGGCAAGCGUUGUCCGGAUUUAUUGGGCGUAAAGAGCGUGUAGGCGGCCAGACAGGUCCGUUGUGAAAACUCGAGGCUCAACCUCGAGAUGUCGAUGGAAACCGUCUGGCUAGAGUCCGAGAAGGAGGAGUGGAUUCGAUUCGUGGUAGCUAGGUGGUGAAAAUGCGCAGAUAUCGGGAGGAACACCAGUGGCGAAGGCGGAACUCUGGGCCGGAACUGACGCUGAGGAGCGAAAGCGUGGGGAGCGAACAGG
rnacentral:rRNA from 1 species